rnacentral:lncRNA from 1 species
GCCAGCGUGACUAGACACAGAAUGCUGUUACCUUCCGAUUGUGGUGGUACCUACUUGCAUUUUUACAUGCUUUCAAACUGCUAGGUUGGCAGGAAUUAAAACCAUACAACCCCCCUAUAUAUUAAAUAUAUAUAUAUUAAAUAAAAUAAAUAAUAAUACCAGUAUCAUCUGGUUAGAUGGGUUUAGUUGGAUUCUAGUUGGAUUCUCAUAUUUUCUUGUACCUAUUUUCACAAUCAGCUGGCCUAGAAUCAGUUCCAGUCUCCCUCCCACACUUUGCCUGCCCCACUAUUGUGACAUCACAGAGACCCACACUCUGGACUCAAAUUUUUCCCCUAACAUCCCAGGGAAUGAGAUACUGCUGCCUGAACAGCUGGAGACAGUCACCUCACUCUCCCUGAUGGGUAAAGACUGUUCCUGCUGGAUGGAACCAGAGGCUGGAUUUCUGAAUAAGAGGUUUCAUGUUUGCAACCAAUGUAUCUGGUGGUGAGUAAUGAUGACUUUACUGGGAACAGCCAACAUUAAAGUGACUUUUUAAGUUCCAAUUAGUUCAAUGAAGAGUUGAACACAUCAUUAACAUUCUCUUGUUGAAACCAAUGGAGCUUACAUGUGCUUAACUUUGACCAGACUGUGCCCAAUGUCAUUGCGACUCUCAAAUAAUUCACUAUCAAGUUCUAAGAUGAGCAAUUAUCACGCUGAGGAGAAAGCAGUAAUUUAUAUUGAUAGCUACUGCACUUGAAUAUAUGUAAUUAAGUCCCUGAUUAGCUUGGACAUGUGCCUCCAGCUUGAACAUCUACUAAACUGAAGGUUAUAUU